rnacentral:rRNA from 1 species
UAAAACGAUGUCGACUUGGAGGUUGUUCCCUUGAGGAGUGGCUUCCGGAGCUUAACGCGUUAAGUCGACCGCCUGGGGAGUACGGCCGCAAGGUUAAAACUCAAAUGAAUUGACGGGGGCCCGCACAAGCGGUGGAGCAUGUGGUUUAAUUCGAUGCAACGCGAAGAACCUUACCUACUCUUGACAUCCAGCGAACUUUGCAGAGAUGCUUUGGUGCCUUCGGGAACGCUGAGACAGGUGCUGCAUGGCUGUCGUCAGCUCGUGUUGUGAAAUGUUGGGUUAAGUCCCGCAACGAGCGCAACCCUUAUCCUUUGUUGCCAGCGAUUCGGUCGGGAACUCAAAGGAGACUGCCGGUGAUAAACCGGAGGAAGGUGGGGAUGACGUCAAGUCAUCAUGGCCCUUACGAGUAGGGCUACACACGUGCUACAAUGGCGCAUACAAAGAGAAGCGACCUCGCGAGAGCAAGCGGACCUCACAAAGUGCGUCGUAGUCCGGAUCGGAGUCUGCAACUCGACUCCGUGAAGUCGGAAUCGCUAGUAAUCGUGGAUCAGAAUGCCACGGUGAAUACGUUCCCGGGCCUUGUACACACCGCCCGUCACACCAUGGGAGUGGGUUGCAAAAGAAGUAGGUAGCUUAACCUUCGGGAGGGCGCUUACCACUUUGUGAUUCAUGACUGGGGUGAAGUCG